GUGGAUUAGAUACCCUGGUAGUCCACGCAGUAAACGAUGCAGACUAGGCGUGGGGGGACUUGACCCCCUCCGUGCCGAAGCCAACGCGUGAAGUCUGCCGCCUGGGGAGUACGGCCGCAAGGCUAAAACUCAAAGGAAUUGACGGGGGCCCGCACAAGCGGCGGAGCGUGCGGUUUAAUUCGACGCAACGCGCAGAACCUUACCAGGGUUUGACAUGCACCUGCAGAGCCGUGAAAGCGGUUGGCCUUCGAGGGUGGUGCACAGGUGCUGCACGGCUGUCGUCAACU
rnacentral:rRNA from 1 species